rnacentral:rRNA from 1 species
AGCAGUCGCCGCGGGAAUACGAAGUGUGCAAGCGUUAAUCGGAAUUACUGGGCGUAAAGCGUGCGUAGGCGGUUUGUUAAGUCUGCUGUGAAAUCCCCGGGCCCAACCUGGGAAUGGCAGUGGAUACUGGCAAGCUAGAGUGUGUCAGAGGAUGGUGGAAUUCCCGGUGUAGCGGUGAAAUGCGUAGAGAUCGGGAGGAACAUCAGUGGCGAAGGCGGCCAUCUGGGACAACACUGACGCUGAGGCACGAAAGCGUGGGGAGCAAACAGGAUUAGAUACCCCUGUAGUCCCUGUCUCUUAUAC